rnacentral:lncRNA from 1 species
AAUAAAUAAAGUAAAGCGAGUGCGAAAAAUAAAUAAAGUAAAGCGAGAGCGGAAAAUAAAUAAAAUAAAAGCGUAGACAGAAAGUAAAUAAAAUAAAAGCGAUGCGGGAAAUAAAUAAAUAAAGUGAUAAGUAAGAACCUGCUCCAAAUGGAGGGCUUUAAAUCUGGUACAAAAAUAAACCUCCGACUCCUGAAGCUAAAGACGACAGCAACUCGAAGUGACCUAACUCAAUCUCACUAAGGUGCGAU